rnacentral:miRNA from 1 species
UGGCAGUGUGUGUUAGCUGGU